rnacentral:rRNA from 1 species
AUUGAACGCUGGCGGCAUGCUUUACACAUGCAAGCCGAACGGUAACAGGCCGCAAGGUGCUGACGAGUGGCGAACGGGUGAGUAAUGCAUCGGAACGUGCCCGGUCGUGGGGGAUAACGCAGCGAAAGCUGUGCUAAUACCGCAUACGAUCUAUGGAUGAAAGGGGGGGACCUUCGGGCCUCACGCUAUUCGAGCGGGCGACGUCUGAUUAGCUAGUAGGUGAGGUAAAGGCUCACCUAGGCGACGAUCAGUAGCGGGUCUGAGAGGAUGAUCCGCCACACUGGGACUGAGACACGGCCCAGACUCCUACGGGAGGCAGCAGUGGGGAAUUUUGGACAAUGGGCGCAAGCCUGAUCCAGCCAUGCCGCGUGUCUGAAGAAGGCCUUCGGGUUGUAAAGGACUUUUGUCUGGGAGCAAAUACCCGGUGUUAAUAGCGCCGGGGGCUGAGAGUACCAGAAGAAUAAGCACCGGCUAACUACGUGCCAGCAGCCGCCGUAACAC